GAUGAAGAACGUAGCGAAAUGCGAUAAGUAAUGUGAAUUGCAGAAUUCAGUGAAUCAUCGAAUCUUUGAACGCACAUUGCGCCCCUUGGUAUUCUGGCGGGCAUGCCUGUUCGAGCGUCAUUUCAACCAUCAAGCCCCAGGCUUGUGUUGGGGACCUGCGGCUGCCGCAGGCCCUGAAAACCAGUGGCGGGCUCGCUAGUCACACCGAGCGUAGUAGCAUACACAUCGCUCAGGGCGUGCUGCGGGUUCCGGCCGUUAAACCCCUUUUUUACCCAAGGUUGACCUCGGAUCAGGUAGGAAGACCCGCUGAACUUAAGCAUAUCAAUAAGCGGAGGA
rnacentral:misc_RNA from 1 species